rnacentral:misc_RNA from 1 species
GAAGCGAGAGAGAGAGAGAGAGGGAGAGAGCUCACAAAGACACAGAGGCCGCGAAAGACAUCGAGAGAAGCGAUACGUGUAGAUUUAGUAAUGACAUGUGGAGGUUCCUGAACGCCCAGCAAGGGCUCCAAGUCUGCCAUUUUAUAGGUCGAAAAUGAAAGAGAGAAGUAUCAGAGAAGCUCUUGGCCUUUUCGUUUGCAGAGAAGAAGACGAAGGAAUGAAAGGGCUGGCUUCCUGGCUCUGUAGUUUUGAAUGAGGAG